CCAAUAGCGUAUAUUAAAGUUGUUGCAGUUAAAAAGCUCGUAGUUGAAUUUCGGGAUUAGUACGCUGGUCGUGCAUUCGGUACGUACUGGUGUUACUGAUUCCUACCUUCUGACGAACCAUCAUGUCAUUAAUUUGGUGUGGCGGGGAAUCAGGACUGUUACUUUGAAAAAAUUAGAGUGUUUAAAGCAGGCUCGCGCUUGAAUACAUUAGCAUGGAAUAAUGAGAUAGGACGUUGAUCCUAUUUUGUUGGUUUCUAGGAUUGACGUAAUGAUUAAUAGGGAUAGUUGGGGGCAUUAGUAUUCAAUUGUCAGAGGUGAAAUUCUUGGAUUUAUUGAAGACUAACUACUGCGAAAGCAUUUGCCAAGGAUGUUUUCAUUAAUCAAGAACGAAAGUUAGGGGAUCGAAGACGAUCAGAUACCGUCGUAGUCUUAACCAUAAACUAUGCCGACUAGGGAUCGGAUGAUGUUAUUUUUAAUGACUCAUUCGGCGCCUUACG
rnacentral:rRNA from 1 species